AUUGAACGCUAGCGGGAUGCUUUACACAUGCAAGUCGAACGGCAGCGCAAAGAGAGCUUGCUCUCUUUGGCGGCGAGUGGCGAACGGGUGAGUAAUGUAUCGGAACGUGCCCAGUAGCGGGGGAUAACCACUCGAAAGAGUGGCUAAUACCGCAUACGCCCUACGGGGGAAAGGGGGGGAUCGCAAGACCUCUCACUAUUGGAGCGGCCGAUAUCGGAUUAGCUAGUUGGUGGGGUAACGGCCUACCAAGGCUGCGAUCCGUAGCUGGUUUGAGAGGACGACCAGCCACACUGGGACUGAGACACGGCCCAGACUCCUACGGGAGGCAGCAGUGGGGAAUUUUGGACAAUGGGGGCAACCCUGAUCCAGCCAUCCCGCGUGUGCGAUGAAGCCUUCGGGUUGUAAAGCACUUUUGGCAGGGAAGAAAAGCGCUGGUUAAUACCUGGCGCUGCUGACGGUACCUGCAGAAUAAGCACCGGCUAACUACGUGCCAGCAGCGCGGUAAUACGUAAGGUGCAAGCGUUAAUCGGAUUACUGGGCGUAAAGCGUGCGCAGGCGGUUCGCA
rnacentral:rRNA from 1 species